rnacentral:rRNA from 1 species
CCUACGGGAGGCUGCAGUGGGGAAUAUUGGACAAUGGGGGCAACCCUGAUCCAGCCAUGCCGCGUGUGUGAAGAAGGCCCUCGGGUUGUAAAGCACUUUCAGUGAGGAAGAACGCCUGGUGGUUAAUACCCAUCAGGAAAGACAUCACUCACAGAAGAAGCACCGGCUAACUCCGUGCCAGCAGCCGCGGUAAUACGGAGGGUGCGAGCGUUAAUCGGAAUUACUGGGCGUAAAGCGCGCGUAGGUGGCUUGAUAAGCCGGUUGUGAAAGCCCCGGGCUCAACCUGGGAACGGCAUCCGGAACUGUCAAGCUAGAGUGCAGGAGAGGAAGGUAGAAUUCCCGGUGUAGCGGGGAAAUGAGUAGAGAUCGGGAGGAAUACCAGUGGCGAAGGCGGCCUUCUGGACUGACACUGACACUGAGGUGCGAAAGCGUGGGUAGCAAACAGGAAUAGAUACCCGAGUAGUA